UAAGCGCUAGAGCCGGCUUCACAAUAUUCC
rnacentral:piRNA from 1 species